GCCUAUUAAACAGUUGCAAAACUAAAACAUUUGUAAUUUGACACUAGCUCAAAGUUCUCAUCACAAAAACAAUUCCAAUAGGGAUUCUGCAUUAAGUCAGAAAAAUCAUAUAGAAGAAAAUCACCUGAUGCCAAUGAAAAAACAAAUAUACAAAGCAACAUGUCACUAGUUUAAUUUGAACCUGUUAUAUAUGCCACCACAAUGCCAAGCUGUGGCUUUCUAAUGUGAGCCAAUCCUCUGAUGCUUGGCUCAUGCAGACUAAAGCCAACUGAGUCUGUCCAAUUGAACCCAAGAAGAUUCAGUAUGUCUCCUAAAACUUGCAUUUUGUGAAACCCACAAACAAGCCAGAAUCGUGUAUGGAACAUAAUUAAUAGGACAGAAACAUUCAGCAAGCACAAGCAAAAAAAAGUCGUGAACCUUUUUAUUUAGACAGCAUAAGAUUGGCCAGUGAGCCCAUCAUGGAGCUGCAAUGAACCAUCUUUCAUCAGGUUGAGGCUCAAACUCUUGAA
rnacentral:misc_RNA from 1 species